rnacentral:tRNA from 1 species
GCCUUCGUGGUGUUGUGGUCAGCACGCUCGACGCUUAUUCGCGAAGUCGUGGUUCGAGUCCUGGUGAGGGCA